rnacentral:tRNA from 1 species
GGAGUGGUUGAGUAGCUGGUGCUCUUCCCGGUCUUCAAAACCGAGUGGGCGGCACGUGAUGUCGCUGGUAGGUUCGAUUCCUAUCCACUCCC